AUUUUUUAGAAUAAAGGUAAACCUUACUACAUGGAUAACCGUGGUAAUUCUAAGAGCUAAAUACAUGCUAAAAACCCCGACUUCGGGAGGGGUGUAUUUAUUAAAUAAAAAACCAAUGCCCUUCGGGGCUCCUUGGUGAAUCAUAAUAACUUAACGAAUCGCAUGGCCUUGCGCCGGCGAUGGUUCAUUCAAAUUUCUGCCCUAUCAACUUUCGAUGGUAGGAUAGUGGCCUACCAUGGUAUCAACGGGUAACGGGGAAUUAGGGUUCUAUUCCGGAGAGGGAGCCUGAGAAACGGCUACCACAUCCAAGGAAGGCAGCAGGCGCGCAAAUUACCCAAUCCCGACACGGGGAGGUAGUGACAAUAAAUACUGAUACAGGGCUCUUUUGGGUCUUGUAAUUGGAAUGAGUACAAUUUAAAUCCCUUAACGAGGAACAAUUGGAGGGCAAGUCUGGUGCCAGCAGCCGCGGUAAUUCCAGCUCCAAUAGCGUAUAUUAAAGUUGUUGCAGUUAAAAAGCUCGUAGUUGAACCUUGGGCCUGGCUGGCCGGUCCGCCUCACCGCGUGUACUGGUCCGGCCGGGGCCUUUCCUUCUGGGGAGCCGCAUGGCCUUCACUGGCCGUGUCGGGGAAACCAGACUUUUACUUUGAAAAAAAUUAAAUGUUCAAAGCAGGCCUUUGCUCGAAAUACAUUAACAUGGAAUAAUAGAAUAGGACGUGCGAACCCUAUUUUGUUUGAUUUCUAAAGA
rnacentral:rRNA from 1 species